rnacentral:rRNA from 2 species
UACGUAGGGGGCGAGCGUUAUCCGGAUUUAUUGGGCGUAAAGCGCGCGCAGGCGGUCAGGUAAGUCGGAUGUGAAAGGCUACGGCUCAACCGUAGAGCGGCAUCCGAAACUGCUUGACUUGAGUGCAGGAGAGGAGAGUGGAAUUCCCGGUGUAGCGGUGGAAUGCGUAGAGAUCGGGAGGAACACCAGUGGCGAAGGCGACUCUCUGGACUGUAACUGACGCUGAGGCGCGAAAGCGUGGGGAGCAAACAGG